CUGAAAUGAACUGGUUCAUAGUCACACAAAAUGUUAUUAUCCAAAGUACUUUUAUGCGUGUUGUUCUAUCACGGAUGUCAUGGAUACCAGGUGCACCCCAGAAAUGAAAUUGAAGAUUUAACUAACGACAAUUCAGACGAACCGGCAAUUGAAUUAUCUACUGGAAUUGACGAGGAUGAAACAGAUACCAAUCCAGUAACCGAACCCGAGAAAGAAAAAGAAAAAGAAAAAGAGAAA